UUCUUAUCAAGAGAGAUGGAGGGGCUGGCCCGAUGAGAUCUCGGCAGCGGAACUUAGUGAUUAAGUUGCUGUGCCAAAUCCAGCAAGCAAAGGCUUGCUAGAUAAGAG
rnacentral:ncRNA from 2 species